rnacentral:rRNA from 1 species
UACGUAGGGUGCAAGCGUUGUCCGGAAUUAUUGGGCGUAAAGAGCUCGUAGGCGGUUUGUCGCGUCUGCUGUGAAAACUCGGGGCUUAACUCCGGCCUGCAGUGGGUACGGGCAGACUAGAGUGCGGUAGGGGAGACUGGAAUUCCUGGUGUAGCGGUGAAAUGCGCAGAUAUCAGGAGGAACACCGGUGGCGAAGGCGGGUCUCUGGGCCGUAACUGACGCUGAGGAGCGAAAGCGUGGGGGAGCGAACAGG